rnacentral:rRNA from 1 species
UACGAGGGGUGCAAGCGUUGCUCGGAAUUAUUGGGCGUAAGGGGUUGGUAGGUGGUCUUGUUUGUCUAGGGUGAAAUCCCAUGGCUUAACUGUGGAAGUGCCCUAGAAACGGCAAGACUAGAGUCCUAGAGGGGUUUGUGGAAUUCCCGGUGUAGCGGUGAAAUGCGUAGAGAUCGGGAGGAACACCAGCGGCGAAGGCGGCAAACUGGAUAGGCACUGACACUCAACAACGAAAGCGUGGGGAGCAAACAGG